CCCAGACUCCUACGGGAGGCAGCAGUGGGGAAUAUUGGACAAUGGGGGGAACCCUGAUCCAGCGACGCCGCGUGAGUGAAGAAGUAUUUCGGUAUGUAAAGCUCUAUCAGCAGGGAAGAAAGAAAUGACGGUACCUGACUAAGAAGCCCCGGCUAACUACGUGCCAGCAGCCGCGGUAAUACGUAGGGGGCAAGCGUUAUCCGGAUUCACUGGGUGUAAAGGGAGCGUAGACGGCGACGCAAGUCUGGAGUGAAAGCCCGGGGCCCAACCCCGGGACUGCUCUGGAAACUGCGUCGCUGGAGUACGGGAGGGGCAGGCGGAAUUCCUGGUGUAGCGGUGAAAUGCGUAGAUAUCAGGAGGAACACCGGUGGCGAAGGCGGCCUGCUGGACUGCAACUGACGUUGAGGCCCGAAAGCGUGGGGAGCAAACAGGAUUAGAUACCCCAGUA
rnacentral:rRNA from 1 species